rnacentral:rRNA from 1 species
GUAGGUGGCAAGCGUUGUCCGGAAUUAUUGGGCGUAAAGCGCGCGCAGGCGGUUCUUUAAGUCUGAUGUGAAGGCCCACGGCUCAACCGUGGAGGGUCAUUGGAAACUGGAGAACUUGAGUACAGAAGAGGAAAGCGGAAUUCCACGUGUAGCGGUGAAAUGCGUAGAGAUGUGGAGGAACACCAGUGGCGAAGGCGGCUUUCUGGUCUGUAACUGACGCUGAGGCGCGAAAGCGUGGGGGAGCAAACAGGAUUAGAUACCCUGGUAGUCCACGCCGUAAACGAUGAGUGCUAAGUGUUAGGGGGUUUCCGCCCCCUUAGUGCUGCAGCUAACGCAUUAAGCAUCCGCCCUGGGAGUACGGCCGCAAGGCUG